AGUGCUCCUGCUGACCUUCCGUGUCUGCAGCCCGGCUUUGGACUGUGGAGAUGCCCUCAGCCUCUACUCAGUGGCUCCAGCCUCAUAUUUGCGUGCUAUACCUUUAACCUCAAGUCCUCUUGCUGCUAACUUAAGCUGCGACUGUCCAGGACCUGCACACACACACACAUGCACGCAUGCACACACACACACACAGAAGGUGAACACACAGGAUGAGGCCCUGAAAACUCAUUUCACCCGUGUACCUCACCCAAAAAUUCCCCUUUGUACUCCUAUCUUUAUCUCUAACUGACAGCAUGAAGGUAGCCCGAAGUCCCCUCACCCUGUCUGUCCUCCUGAUUCUCUAGCCCAGUUCCCUCUAGCUCCAGCACAGACUCUUAUCUCCAGCCCUGACUGCCGAAACCCUCCAGCCCCAGCUCCAGCCCCUCAGGAGGGGACUGCGUGGGAGGAAUGACUCCAGCAAGCCGGCAGCUGACCCGUCUCCUGCCUGCACGCCUCCCGCUGUGGUCCACUGCCGGUGGUCUUCAGCUCUCUCCUCGUCCCACCCCCAUGGUCUGCUGACAGCCCAGCUCAGUGCAUCCCUGCCAUCUCUGCUCUACCGCUGGUCCUCCCAACAACCAACUUACAGUUACAGCGCAUCUUGAUCUUGUUCCUCCGUGACUGUCCCUGGCUCAGCUUCCACCCCCAGCUGGGGCUCAGCUAUCCCUGUGUCCCCAGUCCAGAGCCUGCCUCUCAGCUCUCCCAGGGCGGCCUCGAGCGCUGCUCCUGCUCCUCCAGGGGAGAGGUUUGGGGGCACACGUGAAGGUUUGACAUAUAGUAAACACAUGUCAUGGUGGUUUGUUGUACAGAUUAUUACAUCACCCAGGGUUUCACUCCCGUCACCCAGACUGGAGUACAAUGGUGCGAUCUCAGCUCACUGCAACCUCUGCCUCCUGGGCUUAAGCGAUUCUCCUGCCUUGGCCUCCCAAGUAGCUGGGAUUACAGGUGCCUGCCACCACUCCUGGCUAAUUUUUGUAUUUUUUGUAAAGGCGGAGUUUCUCCAUGUUGCCCAGGCUAGUCUCAAACUCCUGAGCUCAAGCAAUCCACCCGCCUCGGCCUCCCAAAUAAGUGGAAUUAUAGGUGUGAGCCACCACGCCGGCCCUGAUGUAUCAAUAUUAAAACAUUUUCUUCAGCCUA
rnacentral:lncRNA from 1 species